GAUGAACGCUGGCGGCGUGCCUAAUACAUGCAAGUCGAGCGAACAGACGAUGAGCUUGCUCCUCUGACGUUAGCGGCGGACGGGUGAGUAACACGUGGAUAACCUACCUAUAAGUCUGGGAUCAUUUCGGGAAACCGGCGCUAAUACCGGAUAAUAUAUUGAACCGCAUGGUUCAUUGGUGAAAGACGGUUUUGCUGGAUGUUAUAGAGGGUUCUGCGCCGCUUUAGCUAGUUGUUAAGGUAACGGCUUACCAAGGCAACGAUGCGUAGGCGAAGUAAGAGGGGGAUCGGCCACACUGGAACUGAGACACGGACCAUACUCCUACGGGAGGCAGCAGUAGGGAACCGUCGGCAGUAGGCGAAAGCCUGACGGAGCAACGCGACGUGAGAGAUGAAAGUCUUGGGAGCGUAAAACUCUGCUACUAGGGAAGAACAAAUGUCGAAGUAACCAUGCACGGCGUGACGGUACCUAAUAAGAAAGCCACGGCUAACUACGUG
rnacentral:rRNA from 1 species